rnacentral:rRNA from 1 species
UGGGGAAUUUUGGACAAUGGGCGCAAGCCUGAUCCAGCAAUGCCGCGUGCAGGAAGAAGGCCUUCGGGUUGUAAACUGCUUUUGUCAGGGAAGAAAUCCUCUAGGUUAAUACCCUUGGGGGGAUGACGGUACCUGAAGAAUAAGCACCGGCUAACUACGUGCCAGCAGCCGCGGUAAUACGUAGGGUGCAAGCGUUAAUCGGAAUUACUGGGCGUAAAGCGUGCGCAGGCGGCUUUGCAAGACAGAUGUG